UUUGCACCGUCACGAGACCCAAGUACUGCUGUUAAGUUAUGAGCCAAUGAGGUCACUAACCAGACUUUGAUUGCCAAAGCCCUAAAAGAUCAUCAACGGGAAGCUCUCUGCUCAGUGAGGCUGCGCAGUUGUUAAUCGCUUGCAAUAACCGCAAAUACUGAAUGUCCCCUCACAGCAGCGUAUACGGUCAAAAUGGAGUGCUUUUAUUUCAACAAACAAUAACAAUGACGUGGAUUGGGGUCUGCAAAUUGUUAUAUUAUUUUCAAUUGUUUCUUAACACCCCCACGCGCCCCCCCAGUCCUUUGAACGCCUCGUGCUGGACCACCUCAAGAGCAUCACAGGUCCCCUGCUGCCCCCCCUGCAGUUUGCCUACUGAGGAAACAGGUCUGUGGAUGACGCAGACAACAUGGGACUGUGCGGAAACCUAUGCGAGGAUCCUGUUCGUGGACUUCAGCUCUGCGUUCGACACCAUCAUCCCCGAACUCCUCUCCAAGCUUCUCCAGCUCAGUGUCUCGCCUGCCAUCUGCCAGUGGAUUUACAGCUUCCUGACAGGCAGGACACAGCAGGAGAGCCUGGACGCACCACCAGCACCGCCCUCAUCAAAGAAGGUGAGGAGUCUGCAUAUUGGCAGGGAGCGGAGCGGCUGGAGUUGUGGUGGAGCUGAACACGCUCAAGACUGUAAAGAUGAUCGUGGACUUCAGGAGGCAUCUCCCGCCACAGCUGCCCCUCAUGCUGUCCAACUGCCAUGUGUCAACCGUCGAGAUCUUCAAGUUCCUGUGAAUUACAGUCUCUCAGUACCUGAAGUUGGAGACCAACGGCAUCCUCAAAAAGGCCCAUCAGUGGAUGUACUUCCUGCGGCUUCUGAGGAGGCACAGCCUGCCAAAGGAGCUCUUGAGGCAGUUCUACCCAGCGGUCAUCAAAUCGGUUCUGUGUCCUUUCAUCACAGGCUGGUUUGGGGCUGCCACAAAAAAUGACAAACUCCAACUGCAACGGACAAUGAAAACUGCUGAAAGGUUGUUGUUGGUACCCCACUACUCACCCUUGAGGAUUUGCACACUGCCAGAACUAAGAUAUAGCAUGCAAAAUCCUCUUGGACCCUCCACAUCCUGGUAACCACCUCUUCCAGCUUCUUCCCUCAGCAUUUGAACUCUGUGAAGAGCGGGAGUGAUGACGCUUUUGGCCAGCUGGCGGGCAAGCGCGCCAACUUGGUCUCGGUCACCUCCCCGGUCGCUUUGGACACGUAAGAGCCAGCCGAUGACGUCACGGGCCAGAGAGAGUGCAAACGUGUUCACGACGUUUCCGGGUCGGCACGCGGCCGAACUGGGCCCGAGGUGCGGUUCCUUCACGUUUUCAGCGGCCUUCAUCGUGGCUUUCUGUGAGGAUGAAAACUUUGUCAAUAACCAGAGGUGGGACCAAGUCAUUGCUGUGCAGUCUCUAGUCUUUGCCUUCAAGUCCCGAGAUCUGCAACUAUACCGAGUCAAGUCGCACGUCCCACACUUUGAGGCGGCACGGACUUCGACUGGUUAGCACAUCUGCCUCACAGAUCUGAGGACAUGGAUUCAAAUCCCGGUCCCGCAUGUGUGGAGUUUGCACGUUCUCCCCGUGCCUGCGUGGGUUUUCUCCGGAUACUGGGGUUUCCUUCCACACAAAAUUCAGCUGGCAGCCUGGAUGAAUAUACGGAGACUGUCACAUCCUAUAUCAGUUUCUGUGAAGAGGUUUGUGUACCAACAAAAUCAUUUCGCACAUUCAACAACAAGCCGUGGUUCACUGCUAAACUUAAGCAGCUUCGCCAAGCUAAGGAGGACGCAUAUCAGAGCGGGGACAGGGCCCUGUAUCAUCGAGCUAGAAACCAGCUUACUAAAGAAAUUAGCAUUGCAAAGAGGAUCUAUGCAGCAAAGUUGGAAAAACAGUUUAGCGCAAACGACUCUAAAUCAGUCUGGCAUGCAUUCCAAUCCCUGACUAAUUACAAGCGACGAUCCCCCCAAGCUGAGAACAAUAGUACACUAGCCAACGACUUGAAGACCUUCUACUGCGGAUUUGAAAAGGACAGUUUCACACCACACACCCACCCGGCCGCACCCGCGACCACAACCACACCUCUGACUUCUGCGUUAACCAUCCAUGAACAGGAUGUGAGACGCAUCUUCAAACAACAGAAGAUUAACAAAGCGGCAGGC